rnacentral:rRNA from 1 species
GACGAACGCUGGCGGCGUGCUUAACACAUGCAAGUCGAACGGAAAGGCCCUGCUUUUGUGGGUUGCUCGUGUGGCGAACGGGUGAGUAACACGUGAGUAACCUGCCCUUGACUUUGUGAUAACUUCAGGAAACUGGGGCUAAUACCGGAUAGGAGCUCCUGCUGCAUGGUGGGGGUUGGAAAGUUUCGGCGGUUGGGGCUGGACUCGCGGCUUAUCAGCUUGUUGGUGGGGUAGUGGCGUACCAAGGCUUUGACGGGUAGCCGGCCUGAGAGGGUGAACGGCCACCUUGCGACUGAGAGACGCCGCAGACUGCUACGGGAGGCAGCAGUGGAGAGUAUUGCACAAUGGGCGGGAGCCUGAUGCAGCAACGCCGCGUGCGGGAUGACGGCCUUUGGGUUGUAAACCGCUUUCGCCUGUGACGAAGCGUGAGUGACGGUAAUGGGUAAAGAAGCACCGGCUAACUACGUG